CACAUGCAAGUCGAACGGAAACGAUAGAAGCUUGCUUCUAGGCGUCGAGUGGCGGACGGGUGCGUAACGCGUGGGAAUCUACCUUAUAGUGGGGGAUAGCCCGGUGAAAACCGGAUUAAUACCGCAUACUACUCUACGGAGGAAAAGGGGCCUCUCCUUGGAAGCUCUUGCUAUUAGAUGAGCCCGCGUAAGAUUAGCUAGUUGGUUGAGGUAAUGGCUCACCAAGGCGACGAUCUUUAGCUGGUUUGAGAGGAUGAUCAGCCACACUGGGACUGAGACACGGCCCAGACUCCUACGGGAGGCAGCAGUGGGGAAUAUUGGACAAUGGGCGCAAGCCUGAUCCAGCAAUACCGCGUGUGUGAAGAAGGCCUGAGGGUUGUAAAGCACUUUCAAUAGGGACUAAAUGUUCGUCAUUAAUAAUGGCGGAUCUUGAAUUAACCUAUAGAAGAAGGACCGGCUAACUCCGUGCCAGCAGCCGCGGUAAUACGGAGGGUCCGAGCGUUAAUCGGAAUUACUGGGCGUAAAGCGCGCGUAGGCGGUUUAUUAAGUCGGAUGUGAAAGCCCUGGGCUCAACCUGGGAACUGCAUUCGAUACUGGUAAACUAGAGUAUAGUAGAGGUAAGUGGAAUUCCAUGUGUAGCGGUGAAAUGCGUAGAUAUGUGGAGGAACAUCAGUGGCGAAGGCGACUUACUGGACUAAUACUGACGCUGAGGUGCGAAAGCGUGGGGAGCAAACGGGAUUAGAUACCCCGGUAGUCCACGCCGUAAACGAUGUCAACUAGCCGUUGGGAGCAUUUGAGCUUUUAGUGGCGCAGCUAACGCAUUAAGUUGACCGCCUGGGG
rnacentral:rRNA from 1 species